AACCUCCGCAAUGCGAGCAAUCGCGACGGGGGGACCCCAAGUGCCACUCUUAACGGGGUGGCUUUUCUUAAGUGUAAAAAGCUUUUGGAAUAAGGGCUGGGCAAGACCGGUGCCAGCCGCCGCGGUAACACCGGCAGCUCUAGUGGUAGCCAUUUUUAUUGGGCCUAAAGCGUUCGUAGCCGGUUUGAUAAGUCUCUGGUGAAAUCCUAUAGCUUAACUGUGGGACUUGCUGGAGAUACUAUUAGACUUGAGGUCGGGAGAGGUUAGCGGUACUCCCAGGGUAGGGGUGAAAUCCUGUAAACCUGGGAGGACCACUUGUGGCGAAGGCGGCUAACUGGAACGAACCUGACGGUGAGGGACGAAAGCCAGGGGCGCGAACCGGAUUAGAUACCCGGGUAGUCCUGGCCGUAAACGAUGUGGACUUGGUGUUGGAAUGGCUUCGAGCUGCUCCAGUGCCGAAGGGAAGCUGUUAAGUCCACCGCCUGGGAAGUACGGUCGCAAGACUGAAACUUAA
rnacentral:rRNA from 1 species